rnacentral:rRNA from 1 species
UACGAAGGGGGCUAGCGUUGCUCGGAAUCACUGGGCGUAAAGGCUGCGUAGGCGGGUCGUCUAAGUCAGGGGUGAAAUCCUGGAGCUCAACUCCAGAACUGCCUUUGAUACUGAGAGCUUGAGUUCGGGAGAGGUGAGUGGAACUGCGAGUGUAGAGGUGAAAUUCGUAGAUAUUCGCAAGAACACCAGUGGCGAAGGCGGCUCACUGGCCCGGA